GUCAGCGUAGUUUAUGGAAAAUAUAACAUUGAAAAUGUUAAGAUGGGCCUUUAAAAGCCCCGGUAACA
rnacentral:tRNA from 1 species